AUAUUAGUUUUCAGAAUUUUGUAAUUUUCUUUCAAUAAACUAAAAAAUAAGUAAAUAUAAAAUAAUGUUAUCUUCAGUUCAAUGUAUGGUUAAAAUACUUUUUUGAAAAUUAUCGGUUCAAAUAUUUUAGAAACAUGUUUUUGCUAUUUCGGCAUCUGAUCUAGCAUGGAUAGUAUGACUGCGCAAUUACCGCGAACCUGCUAUUAACUAUUAGGCCAGAAAAAGUUGAUUAGAGCAAACUAUGCAUACUUAUAGUACAGUUCACUGAGUAGGUUUAAUGGACAAUGGAUUUGUGUUACAGUUGAGACAACAUGCAACGGCUUGCACUUUACUGUUAAGUAGGCUAUUCUUACCAAUGACGAGGUGGAUUGAACGCUGUUAGCUAGCUUUAGCUUGUUUAAAGUUAGCUAACUGUAUUGUGACGGUAGGCAACUUCUGAGCUAUUAUAAAAAUGUAUUUAACUUAAAAGAUUUCCUACCUCAACAUAUAUUAAAGACUGAAACUAACUUUAAAAGUGUUUUGUUUAAAUUUACAGGUCCUAUGUUUAUCUCCGAUUUAUGGGAUGCUGCGUUCAGGAAGCCAUGGGGUCAGUUUGAGUUGAACCGCAUGUCAGGAUUGUCCCCACAUUGACCUGCGCCUGACUGGCCUCCCAGCAAAAAAAAAAAAAGAAAAAAGAAAAAAACUCCUGUGAAGGGCUACGCUGAUCGGAAGGUGAAAAACAUCCUCCUCUCCCCCAGCUGAACAUCUGUCUCUGCGGUGUUGGCUGCAGCACCGACUCUGACACCUCCAGAUGGAGAGCCUGCUGGGAGCACUGAGGUAUUACCUACAGAGAUGGCAGGGAUCACACCCCUGGAAUGAAGUCCCACGCUUGUUUUCCACACCGUCCCCUUUUCUGUUGUUGAAUCUGUCACUAUUCACCAUAUUCAUUGUCGCUUCCCUAGCCCAUGGCCUUGUGACUCAUCUGAAGAGGAUUUUGGCUUGUAAGGAAAUGCGUGACAUCAAAUCUCUGAGGCCUUCUUUCUAAUUUACAAUAAUGGGAUAUAUGGUAUUUCAGCUCUAACUUCUAUUCAGGGAACUGUAUUAAUUUUUAAUAUAGUUGUGAAAGAACUGCAUACUCCUGGAUGUAUUUUAAAUGACUGCUGAUUUUCAU